rnacentral:rRNA from 1 species
GAUGAACGCUGGCGGCGUGCCUAAUACAUGCAAGUCGAACGCGAGCAGCAAUGCUCGAGUGGCGAACGGGUGAGUAAUACAUAAGUAACCUGCCCUAGACAGGGGGAUAACAGCUGGAAACGGCUGCUAAGACCGCAUAGGCGCGGACGGGACAUCCCGUCCACGUUAAACGUCCUUUCGGGGACGGCUGAAGGAUGGGCCUGUGGCGCAUUAGCUUGUUGGCGGGGCAACGGCCCACCAAGGCGACGAUGCGUAGCCGGCCUGAGAGGGCGGACGGCCACACUGGGACUGAGACACGGCCCAG